rnacentral:lncRNA from 1 species
AUGAGGAAUGAAGAUGGCCAUCUUGAGCUCAAACAAACAGAAGUCCUCUGUAUUUUUAUUGGUACAGAUGAUCUCUUCAGCCAAACGAGGGGUUUUGACCAAGUGAUGCUCUUGAAAGGAGUGAAAGAAGAGGAUGUGGUAAAUUGUCUUCAGAGAAAAAGCUUCUCAAAAGGUCUUAAAACAGCUUGAAGAAUGGUAAGUGUACAGUACUACAAGGGUCAUAGUUGGUCACCCUGCUAAAAUCACACAGAACAUAAGCUGCGCUCUCUGUCCAUUAAACAACUUGAUCUGGAUUGUGUGUUUCACUUCAGGUCUGGGAUGUUAGGACUGAGAGAUCCUCUGGCUGAGAACAAGCUACACCACAUCAGUGCUGGACAUCAACCACAAACUGUUUCCAGACAUGAGAGAAGAAGAUCACGAUGGGGAGAUGAAACCAGUUUAGAUGUGAUGAUGGGAAUCAUUAUUUUCUGGAACAGUAUCACAUGUCUUAUAUGUAUCACAUGAUCUGUAUCACAGUUGACUGGAUGGGACUGUGUGACUUUUAAGGACAUUUCAUCACUCAUCUGUGUGAACUGAUUUAUAUAUGAGGUUAAUGUAUCUUUGAUGAUAAUUAUUUUCAUUGAAUCUUAUUUGUCUUGAUGCUACUUUAUCAACUUUAUAGUCUAUGCUUCAAUAAAAUGAAAAUGGUGAAUAUUGUGUUCUGAAGAUUCUUGGUAAAUACAUCAUUUUACUAGGUAGGCUCAUAUGUGUUUAUUUUAGACUUGGAAAAACGACAUAUUAAUUAUUGGGAUUAUUUUUUUAUUUAAGACAUAAACAUUUUUGAUCGGAUUAAUAACAUCUGGGACAUCAGUACACCAGAAAGUAUUUUUUUAUAUUUUAGUAACAAAUAUGCACAUUUUUUUUGUGAAAUACAGGGAGUUACAAGAUUAAUUAUUCUGCAUUACAAGAUGGUGCCAUGGGCUUUAUUGUUACAAGCACUUGAGGGAUAACUGAGAAUGUAGCAGGAAUUAUCAAUGGGAUCUUGUACUGCAUUAAAACCAAGAGCAGGCACAUUACUGAUGUCCAGCACCUGAGGAGCAAGAUACGGGGGUGAGGAGGACAUUUUUACACUGAUUUCGGCUAAUUAGUUAUAUAUAAUGCUAAUAUAUAUAUAUAUAUAUAUAUAUAUAUAUAUAUAAAUUAAUAUUCUUAGCACUGCAUGAAUUUGUCCUUGUGUAAUAGUGAAGUAUCACAAUGUGUAUACAUUGUCCUUGAUUACUGCUUUACAGUGGGGAAUAGAUAAUGGCAAGUUGUUGCAGGUUCAUCCAUUAUAUUUCUUGCCAUUUACUUCAAAAA